AAUAACCGGUGACCCUUAAUGUCGCUGUUGCUGGCCAAUUGACACAGGUCCUUGGGUAUUAUGGAUGCUCACCAUUUUAGACUACCUCCAUUUUUGAUGGAUUCAACUUCCCUUACCUGAAUUGGACUUUCUCCAGCUCCAUGAAAAGAUGGCUCCAGAUAGAAGCUAGAGAACCAUUUUUAACAAGAUGAUAUGCUGUCCACAUCUGGAGUGCUGUGUUCAUGACUUGGUGCUGCAUUUUAGGAAGGAUAUCAAUAAACUGAAGAACAUUCAGAAAGGAGACAAACAAAUUCAGGUUCUCAUAUCACCAGCUGAUGUCCUGGAAUCUCAGGUUCUUCAGCUGCAAAAUGAAGACUGAACUAGUGUUCAUUAAGAUGCCUUCUAUUUUGGACAGCCAUAAUUCUGUUAUCUGCAUUUGUAUCUAUAAAUGGAGAAAGGAGGAGAAAUGGGCAAUUUGGCAAUUAUGAUCUCUUGCUGAAGGAUGAAAGCUUGAGAGAUCACUUAGUCUCUUUUGGGAUCUAUUCUUGUUUCCUUUUCCUUGUGGAGUCUGGGUUUCCAGCCUAUCUUUCAGUAGCUUUCUAGCUUCAGAGGCCACCCAUAACAGACUGACCACAGAUUCUGCCUUAUAUCAAAGUAACUGCUGGGGGGAAAAGAAAUAGUAGCUUAACUAGGCUGAAAUUGAGUCCUGAUCUCUACAUGCUCAGUUCAGUGAUCUUUUUUACUGAAUCGUAUCACUUCCUUUUGUUUCAAGGGUCUAAAGGGAUCACUUGCUUUUGG
rnacentral:lncRNA from 1 species